UUUAUAUUUAGAUCAUAGAUCUGGACUAUGGGUUAAAAUCAGAAGAUCCAAUCAGAAAGCUGAAAGUGUAUAGCAAGAGAACCUUCGAUAACGCUCAUUUUCCAGACAAGAUAAGCAGAAUUUUCAGUCCAAAGAAAUUUAACGAAAAGAUUUUGCAAGUGUACAGCCGCAAUCGCAAUAAGGAAGUUUGUGAAAUAUUAAACUCUGCUUCUGAAGAGUUCGUUAGAAAUGCUCUCCAACAAAGAGAUCAAAACAAGAAGCCAAGCAAUGAGAAUGAUCAAAAAGAUGAACCUAGGGCUAAGAAACGAAAAGUGAGACUGUAAACACUAGAAUUUUAAUUCCAUUUUGUAUGCACUCAUUGUAAAAAAAAAAGCUCAGCACUUUAAGGGUUAAAUGUUAAAACUCGAUUUUGUUAAAACUUGUAUUAUGGAUUUGUUUAAAAAUGAAAUUUUUUGUCUGUAAUUAUUGUUUUUAUGGGUCCUGAUAGCGUUUAACCCUAUGAUGCCCUUUAUACUUUAUUGUUGCAAAAGACUUUUUUUAUUAUUGUUGAUUUUGUUGUGUGCUUUAUGUAUUUACAUAUGUAUUUACAUAUGUAUUUACAUUUUGAUGGUCCUCUUUUAUUGGAUUUACAUUUCUAAAUGUUUUCAGCAUUACCACUAGCAAUAUUUACAAUUUGGUUGCCUUGCCAUUGUAAAUGAAGUUGAAUGCAAUAUACAGCUUUAAUGUGAUUUUUGUGAUUUGUGUCUCGCUAUAUUUUUACUGAAAAUUACUAUUUAUUACGUUUUUUAGUCUAUUUUAUUUUCCAUUUUUUCUAACAUUUUUAAAAUUAUUCUAUUUUACUUUUCUUUGUUUCCUGUUAAGGUUAUUGCUUAUAAGCUAAUUUUCAAAUUUCGUUCUUUUUUUGUGUUUUAAAUUUCUUUUUUUUAUAUUUUUUAAGUUUUUAUAGAUAAAUCAUUGAUAUAUCUUUUGUGUAUUUGUAAGUUUUGAAUUACGCUCAAUGUCAUGCAUUAUUUAUUUAGAAAAGAAAGAAUUCAAUGCAAGUCUUGAUUUUAAUAGAUGUGCGUUCAGAAAGCAGCAUAAUAAAACAAAAUAAAAUCA
rnacentral:sRNA from 1 species